rnacentral:tRNA from 1 species
AAUGAUAUGCCUGAUAAAAGGAUUAUUUUGAUAGAAUAAAUCAUACAUUAACUUAAAUAUGUUUUCAUUA